UACAGAGGUCCCAAGCGUUGUUCGGAUUUACUGGGCGUAAAGGGUGCGUAGGCGGUCGGUUAAGUCUGGUGUGAAAUUUCGGAGCUCAACUCCGAAACUGCAUUGGAUACUAUUCGGCUAGAGGUUGGGAUGGGAGACUGGAAUUCUCGGUGUAGCAGUGAAAUGCGUAGAUAUCGAGAGGAACACCAGUGGCGAAGGCGAGUCUCUGGACCAAUCCUGACGCUGAGGCACGAAAGCCAGGGGAGCAAACGGG
rnacentral:rRNA from 1 species